AGCUCUCUGUGUCUCCAUCAUGGUUGAUUCCUGGAGCUUCAGUCACUCUGAUCUGUCACACUGAGCCUCCGUCAGCAGGGUGGAGCUUCUACUGGUUCAAAGCUGUUCCAAACUCUCAGGAUUCCUACACCUAUGAGCCUCUACCUGGUACCAGCAGUGGGACAGCAAACAAUUCCUUCACAGUUCAUGGACAGACACACACAGCAGGAUAUGCAUGUUCAGCUGGACGAGGGGAUCCGCUGAUUUACACACAAUACAGUCGUCCCACAUUUGUCUGGUCUUCAGGUGUUCAUCCAUCAGCGUCUCUCACAGUGAAUCCUGACAGAGUCCAACACUUCACCUCUGAAUCUCUCUCACUGACAUGUGAAGGAAGCUCUUCCCAGUGGAGGCUGAUCCAGUUUCUGACUGACGACUCGCUGUUGAGCUUUCUUCCUCCAGCGACAAUCAAUGGAUCAACAUAUAUUAAGAAUGAGGCUCCAAGAAAAGCUGUGUACUGGUGUGAGUCUGGAACAGAGUUCAGCAAUGCAGUCAAUAUCUCCACACACUCUGAUGGCGUUAUCCUGGUGAGCCCUGUGUAUCCUGUACCUGUGGGAGAGUCUGUAACUCUCCUCUGUGUCAUGAAGACUGGAAAUAUUUCCUCUGAUGUGUUUUUCUACAAAAACAACAAAUUCAUUGGAAAUGAGAGACGAGGAGAGAUGAAGAUCUCUGCAGUGUCAGAAUCAGAUGAAGGUUUCUACAAGUGUCAGUACAAUGGAAGAGAAUCAGCACAAAGCUGGAUGGCUGUGAAAGUGUCCAGAUCUGAGAGCUCUUCAUUCCAUGUCUGGUUGAUCUUUGGGCUGGUUUGUGGAGUUUUGCUUAUUUUCAUCCUCUGCCUGCUGUGGUGCUACAAAUGCAAAAAGAGGUCAUGCUGCAGCAGACGUAUUGAGUCUUUGUAUGUCAAUCAAAGCUCUGC